rnacentral:lncRNA from 1 species
AUAGCUUCUCUUCUCGUUUUUUGUUUUGGUCGGAAUUCUCUUCGCUUUGCCUUGCGUAGCUUUGGACUUACAUUUCGGAGUCUGAAUUUGUUGAAUGACUUGGGAAUUGCAGUUUUGCUGUUUAAAUAGUGCGUGCUUGUGUCAUGGAAUAAAAGAAAUUGGUGCGUGCUUUAAUGGAAAUAUGAAGAUUUAGCUGUUGUUUGUUAUGGCUGACUUUCUUUUGGACUUACAUGAUUGCUCUCCGAUUUUUGGUUGCUUUCCUUCUUUUAGAAUGGUUUUUGUCACGUAUAGAUCGGAUCUAAUGGAUGGAUUAGGAUUAGCUGAUCUGAUAGAAGAAUGAUUAGUUGAUUGUUUCCUUCCUCUUUUUGGUGCUGGAUUUGGUGGUUAGUAUAGCACAUUCUGAGCCUAAGUUGGAGCACAUAUCCCAAGUUGCGUUUUUGAUUUAUGUUUCUUUUAGCAUUGAUUGUUAGUCACUAUAUCCGAACUAGUUGAAUGUAAGUGUUGUUCAUUGGGUUCGCCAUGGUAAUAAUCAUCCUUUGUUUCUUAUCUCACCAUCUUAUAGGUGUUACUAGUUAUUGACAAGGCCAGCUAGAAAAUCUGUUAUUAAUCGAUCCUGAUUGUACUUUUCUUUUCGUGAGAACCCUGAUUAGACAUAUCUGAACUUGUAUUUAACUUAUUGCAGAACCAACAUUUUUAUUGCAAAAUUCUUUUUAAGAAAACCAUUUGUUGCAAAUAAUUCUGAAAUUUCCUUGAUUGGAGAAUGCUUGGGUUAGAUGACCAGUUAAAAUGAAAGGAAUUACCAUUCUAUCUGAUGAUGGUGUUUUGUGUCUGUUUUUCUUCCAUUUAACUGAUAAUAGGGUUCUUAGAGAGCAGCAGGUUUGUCACUAAAGUAAAUGGCUACUAAAGUAAAUGGCUUUUGGCAGGUGAUGACUACAAGAUAAAGGUGUGGAAUUAUAAGACUCAUAGGUGUCUAUUCACCCUCCUUGGACACCUUGAUUACAUCCGUACGGUGCAGUUUCAUCAUGAACACCCAUGGAUUGUGAGUGCUAGUGAUGAUCAGACCAUCCGCAUAUGGAAUUGGCAGUCGCGUACUUGUAUUUCUGUUUUAACGGGUCACAAUCAUUAUGUAAUGUGUGCAUCUUUCCAUCCAAAAGAAGACCUUGUUGUGUCUGCUUCUCUAGAUCAGACUGUUCGUGUGUGGGAUAUUGGUUCCCUGAGAAAGAAGACUGUGUCUCCAGCAGAUGAUAUUCUGAGGUUAAGUCAGAUGAAUACUGAUCUUUUUGGUGGUGUUGAUGCUGUUGUUAAGUAUGUCUUGGAAGGCCAUGACCGCGGAGUCAACUGGGCUGCAUUCCAUCCCACUCUCCCUCUCAUUGUCUCACGGGCAGAUGACCGCCAAGUGAAAUUGUGGCGCAUGAAUGGUGAUGAAACAAUUCUUUUCCUCGUUCUAAAUUCUCUGCAAUUUGGUUAUGUGAUAUUUUUGCAGUGCAUUAAAUUGGCUAACACCAAUCUUGUGAGAAAUUAUCUAUCUGCAAACUGAAAACUUUGCAGUGACUGGUUUUAGAAGUUACAGUGUGUUGGUAGGGAUCAAUUUUNNNNNNNNNNNNNNNNNNNNNNNNNNNNNNNNNNNNNNNNNNNNNNNNNNNNNNNNNNNNNNNNNNNNNNNNNNNNNNNNNNNNNNNNNNNNNNNNNNNNNNNNNNNNNNNNNNNNNNNNNNNNNNNNNNNNNNNNNNNGACAUCCGUGUAAAGAGUGAGCCUGGGUGACAAUGGUGUCUUUAUUUACACAACUUUGACUCAUAUCAAAUAUUGCCUCCCCAGUGGAGAUAGUGGGAUUAUUAGAACCCUUGAUGUCCCAAUAUAUAUAACAAAAGUUUCUGGGAAUACUAUCUUUUGCUUGGAACGUGAUGGGAAAAACAAAGUCAUUGCUAUUGAUGCUACAGAAUAUAUAUUCAAGCUAUCUUUAUUCAGGAAGAGAUAUGAUCAUGUUAUGAGCUUGAUUAGGAGUUCACAGCUUUGUGGACAAGCAAUGAUUGCUUAUUUGCAACAAAAAGGGUUCCCUGAAGUUGCUCUCCAUUUUGUGAAGGAUGAAAAAACACGUUUCAAUUUGGCAUUGGCAAGUGGAAACAUUGAAAUUGCAGUUGCGUCGGCUAAGGUUAUUGAUGAGAAAGAUCACUGGUACAGAUUGGGGGUGGAGGCUCUUCGCCAAGGAAAUGCAGCAAUUGUAGAAUAUGCCUACCAGAGGACAAAAAAUUUUGAGAGGUUAUCUUUCCUUUAUCUCAUUACUGGAAACAUGGAUAAGUUAUCCAAGAUGCUGAAAAUUGCUGAAGUUAAGAAUGACGUAAUGGGUCAGUUCCACAAUGCUCUGUAUUUGGGUGAUGUCCAAGAGCGUAUAAAAAUCUUAGAGAAUGUUGGCCACUUACCUCUUGCUUACAUCACAGCUUCAGUCCACGGGUUACGGGAUGUUGCUGAACGGUUAGCUGCUGAAUUGGGGGAUAACAUUCCUUCAUUACCUGAGGGAAAAGCACCCUGUCUAUUGGUCCCCCCAACACCUGUUAUGUGUGGUGGUGAUUGGCCGCUUUUGAGAGUCAUGAAAGGCAUUUUUGAAGGUGGGUUGGAUAAUGUUGGCAGGGGUGCAAUUGAUGACGAGGAGGCUGGCGAUGGGGAUUGGGUUGAGGAACUUGAAAUGGUGAAUGUUGAUGGCUUGCAGAAUGGCGAUGUUUCUGAAAUUUUGUUGGAUGGGGAAGUACCAGAAGAAGAUGAAGAAGAAGCUGGGUGGGAUGUUGAGGAUUUGGAUCUUCCUCCUGAAGCUGACACCCCAAGGGCUUCUGUUACUGCCCGAUCUUCAGUUUUUGUUGCACCAACUACAGGCAUGGCAGUAAGUCAGAUAUGGACCCAGAGGUCAUCUCUUGCUGCUGAACAUGCUGCUGCUGGAAAUUUUGACACUGCAAUGCGGUUGCUAAGCAGGCAACUUGGAAUACGAAACUUUGCUCCUUUAAAAUCUAUGUUUCUUGAUCUUCACACUGGUAGCCACACCCAUUUACGUGCAUUUUCUUCUGCUCCCAUAUUAUCGUUAGCUGUUGAAUGGGGUUGGAAUGAAUCUGCUAGCCCUAAUGUAAGAGGCCCACCGGCACUGGUGUACAAUUUCUCUCGGUUGGAAGAGAAGCUUAAGGCUAGCUAUAAUGCUACUAAAUUUGGAAAAUUCAGUGAUGCUCUUCGUCUUUUCCUAAGCAUUCUUCAUACGAUUCCCCUUAUUGUUGUUGAAUCAAGGAGGGAAGUAGAUGAAGUGAAGGAGUUGAUUAUUAUAGUCAAGGAGUAUGUUCUUGGUCUGCAAAUGGAGCUUAAGAGGAGGGAACUGAAAGACAAUCCUACACGGCAGCAGGAACUUGCUGCCUACUUCACUAACUGCAAUCUUCAAAUGCCUCACUUGAGGCUUGCCUUGCAAAAUGCGAUGACUGUCUGCUACAAGGCUAAGAAUUUUGCCACAGCUGCUCACUUUGCCAGACGUUUAUUGGAGACAAAUCCCACGAUUGAGAACCAAGCCAAGACAGCCAGACAAGUACUUCAGGCUGCAGAAAGGAAUAUGACUGAUUCUUCUCAACUUAACUAUGAUUUUAGAAACCCGUUUGUGAUAUGUGGGGCUACAUAUGUUCCAAUUUAUCGUGGACAGAAGGAUGUAUCAUGCCCAUACUGCAGUUCCAGAUUUGUGCCUAGCCAGGAAGGAAAGCUCUGUACUGUUUGUGAUCUUGCUUUAGUUGGUGCAGAUGCUUCGGGUUUGCUCUGUUCCCCUUCCCAGAUUCGAUGAGUUAUUUGCUGAUCAAGAGCAUUCUUCUACCAUUUUCAGACUAUCCUUUUGUCAGAUGAAGCGUUCAUGUUAAAUUGAUUCAUAUCUGCCGGUAAAAGGUAAGAAAUACAACAGAAGAGUUACACUCCUUAGGAUUGCAAUUGGUUUCUUUGCCUUAUUCCUUGAUUGUCCAUGUAGUUUAUGAUUUUUAUUGUAAUAAGCAUUUUGAGAAUUUUGACUGGGGCUAUUUCAGCACACUCCAGAAUGGUCAAAAGACCACUGUUAAAUUAGAUAAUGGUUAUAGGCAGGACGAAUCACAUAUUAAUGUACACAGAUGCCGAUCAGCAAAAUUUGCUUAUUUUUUGAUCCUUCGGAUUUUUUGGUUUGCAGGGACAGUAAUAUGUGAUUCUAAUUCAAUGCACUAUUUUUGUCAACAGCUAUUUCUGUUUAGCUAUGGGAUUUAAUUUUCAUUUGUUUUUAAGCUUUCUGAUUGCUUGAAUUCACUGCAGCAGUAAAUUGGGAAAAGAUUAAUUUCUAUCAUUCUCGCUUUCGCUUGAAAGUUUUGUUUUGGGUUCUUGCGAUGAAAUGUGGAUAUGCAUAAAAUGUUGGCAGGGCCUAGUUUGAAGUCUUCUUGUGUUCAGUAUGACUUUCCACACGAGAGAAAUGCUGGGUGUCUCUUUGAAAUAGAUGUGUUCUUUUUGUGCCUUCGAUUGGUUAAACUUGAUUCAGAAUCAAGUCCAAUGGGCUGCAAUAGAUGAUGAUUUGGGAUCUUUAGAAACUGUGGGAACAAGGACUAGGGAUGAUAAUUUGACACGUGAACUCUGGGUUUUGAACUAUCUUGUUUUUUCUGGUUUGUUUUGUUCUUGACAUAAACUCUCUUUUUUUUUUUUUUGAACUGGUCAAAUAUUCCAUUCAACUAGAAAAGAAGUGCAACAUCAGUUGGGAAGUCCUCCCAUACAUGAAAAGUUGCAUACAAAAACGCAGAUCGGGCAAUAUUAUUUGCUAAUUUAUUCUCACUUCUCUUAACCCAUUUGCAAGAAACAUCUGAUGUACUCCUCAGCAAGGCUCCGCAGUCGUCAACAAUGUACCCAUACUCAGAAUCAUCUUCAACAUCAGAUAUCAAAUACAGAGUAAACCAGCUGACGUAAACUCUUUAGACAUGUAUAUGUUGGUUUUACAUGUAUAUGACUAUUCCAUAGUUUUUUUUCUUUUCCAAUCAUUCUUUCUAUUACAUGCAAAACAUAUAUCGAGAGCACACAAACUUUUAAGAAAGUAACCACUCGAUUAUAGUCGUAUGAAAUUAAGGAUGAGGUUUCAAUCGGUGUAAUGGUGGGAUGUAACUGAAGCAAUCUGCUUUAAACUUGCUUCGUUUCCAUUCUCAGCGUUUUGUAGAACACCAGCAAAAGAAUUCUAAUCAUGAUGUCGGAAUUCUUUUGCUUCAUUUCUAAUUCCUUCGCAUCUACUUCGGAAAAAUUUUGAAGUCUUAGACAUGAUGUUGAAAUUCGAAUGUAUUCCCAUGAUUGUGGCAGGUUCUGGGAUCUGAAGUAUGAAUUCUUUGAACUUAGUGUUUUGAAAUUUGAGACGUGUGUGUUUUCCAUAAUUGGGCUAGACAAACAAUUAGAAAUACAUGUUGUACAAUUCAUUUACUUCCAAUAUUGUUUGAAAGUUAUUUUCUGAUGAGUUCUUUCUUUUUAGAAAAAAGCAUGAGCUUUGGAAUAUCAAAAGCAGUAAUUGGCCCUCUCUUAUAACUUCUUUCCAUAUGGCUUUUACAACUUAAUUAAAGAAUUUUAAGGGUAACUGUACUUUUUCAUAUAUAUACAUAUAUAAAAUUACAAAGUUAGCUUGAAUUUUUAGUAAAUUAUAGAAUAAUUAUUCUAAUUAAAAAAAUUUUAAUUAUUAUAAUAUAUUCAAUUCAUUCAUAUAUGUCAUUAACUUAUAUAUUAAUAAAUUAAAAUUUUAAAUUCAUUAAACAUUAUAAAUUGACUGCAGUUCACUUAAUAAAUAUGUUAUUAUUUACUUAAAAACUUUAAAAGAAAACAAGAGGGUAAAACAUAUUCUGUUAUAACAAUAGUUGCUUAACGGGUGAAGUUAUUGUUUUGCAUUAAAUGAAAAAUGUAUUUUUCAAAAAAAAUUAACAUCUGUUUUUGUUCUUAGAAAAUACUCAUUAUUUUAAAAUAAAAAAUAAUUAAAAUAUAUAAAAAUAAAAAUAAAAAUAAAACUAUUUUCUUUUAAACAAAACAAAAACUUUACUAGCGAACCGAUUGUAGACUUUGACGGCCAUGAUUGGAUGUCGUCAAAACUAUAAAAUGUAAACGGGUGUAUCUAAUCAGAAACGGCGGAUACUCGCAGUCAUUGAACGAAUAUUAUUUUCCGGUACGUGAAAUAAUUUUUAUUCACCGUAUCCUCAGUCUUCACUAAAAUUCCUUUUCAGUCCCCUUCUCUUCUUUCCCCCUCUCCGAGACCGAGAGGGCCUCUCUUCAAUAUUGCUACAGAGAGACGAGACUCGGAUCUAAAGAGAGGACUCGAAACCCCAGUCCUUCCCUCUUCCCGAUCUGCUCUAUCUUACCGCUAUAAAUAUACUUGUUCGUAUGAACUUCUCCAUUUCGGUACAUAUCUGCUGGUAUAAGUGUUCGUGAUUCUAAACGCGACUGUAUAUAUUGUUCUUGAUUCUACACGUGCUGAUCGGAUCGGAGGUAUAUCUUUAUGCUUCUCUAUUAGAUCUCAAAUUUUCGUAUCGAAUUGUUUGAUCUUUGUGGAUCUCUUCGCAAUUCAGAAAUCCCUGCCUGGUUACUGAGAAACUGUUAGCCUCACGACGGAUAUUUCUUUUCCAAGUGUUGAUUUGUUUUGGCUUGGGAUUCAUUUUAUUUUAUACAAUUUUGUUAUUCCGCAUCUAAUGUGUUGGUAAUUUGGCUGUUCCUAGUGUUCUGUUUGGGGGCUUUAUUUUGGUGAUUGGGGAAGAUGUUAACGAAGUUUGAGACGAAGAGUAAUAGAGUGAAGGGACUGAGUUUCCACGGUAAGAGACCAUGGAUUCUUGCGAGUCUUCACAGCGGUGUCAUCCAGUUGUGGGACUACCGAAUGGGGACACUUAUUGACAGGUUUGACGAGCACGAUGGCCCCGUUCGCGGCGUUCAUUUCCAUAUAUCGCAGCCGCUGUUUGUUUCUGGAGGUGAGUAGCUUCUUCCCGAAUCCUUUUUUUUUAGUUGGAAUUCUCUUGGCUUUAUCUUUGACUUGUAAUAUUGAGAGUUAAUUUGUUAAAUGACUUGGGAAUUUUAGUUUUGCUGGUUAAAUAAUGCUUGAAUAUGUUUGCAAAAAAACGGUACGAACUUAGCCAAAAAUGAAGUAUGAAGAUGUAGUUCUUGUAUGUUAUAGCUGACUUUCCUUGAGAUCUAAGUGAUUGCUCUGUGGUAGCGAAUCUUGUUCUUUGAUGUUUUUCUUUCUUUUAAAAUUGUUUUUUUAACGUUAAUUCAAAAAUUGGUGGAUUAGGAUGGUUGAUGGGGCUUUACUUUUUAGUUUUUCAGGAUAAUGGUCUCCUACCUUUUCCUUGGUGCUGAAUGCCAUGGUCAGUUGCAUAUUAUAACCUUGUGUAGAAGCAUAUUAUUGGGACAUCAACCUUGUAACCUUGAUGAUAUUGGUUUGAUUGUAGAUAUGCUCUUAGAUUUGUAAAUCUUUUGUACAUGGGAGGCACUCCCUUGGUGCCUACUCUAAUAUAUUUUUCUACUCUUUUAUCUCAAAAAAUAACCUUGUGUAGAAGCACCUUUUGUAUCCAAUUUGCCUAUCUAAUUUACACUUACUGUAGCCAUUUGGUUCAGUCGUUAGAUUUUAAUUUGUUGACGGGAAGGUUAACUUGGUUUACCAUGGGAACAAUCAUUCUGUAUCCCUUUAUUUACCAUCUCGAAGAUGGAAGGAGUUGGUGUUGUUUUAUAACCUGAACCAGUGAGUAGAUCAGUACCAGUGAAUGAGUAGGUUUAAGGACAUUGAAUAUGUUGUUGAUCUAAAUAACUUACUAUAACCUUCAUUGUAGAUUAACCCAUGAAUAUAGCAUGGAGUUCAGCUUGUUAUCUAAAAAAAAAGCACAGAGUUCAGCUUAACCUACGAAGUAUGGUUUAUAUAAUCUACAGAGUGGUCUAAGGAAGUACAUGACCUACACAAUCCAAUAAUUCCAAAAAAUUAGGCAAUUGUAGAAGAAGAAGAGCUUGUUAUACAAACUGAAAAGACUACACUGGAUGGGUUUCCCACUCUAGGAAUCAAAUGCCAACUUAGUAAUGAAUACAUACCAAUAUAUGAGCUUAGUGCUUUUUGAUGCAGUUGCAAAUCAAGCGAAAUGCAUCCAUUGUUUUUUUCUGUUUUUAGAAUUUUCAUGCAAAUAUCAUUGUUAAUGUUCAUGAUUGGUUCACUACUUGUUUGAUGUCCAUGCAUGCUUAUAAUAAGUGCUCCUAAGAUGGUGCUACCCAUGUACAAAAGCCUUCAAUUUCAUCAAAAAUACAAGAUAUCAAUAUGUUUCCCAGGGCUAAUUUCAUCAAGACUGAUGACCUUCAACUAAAUAUUUAAGGUUUGAGCCAUUUCAUCCAGACUAAUUCUAUCGAAAGGAAAGGUAAUGUCCUAAGAAAUUCCCCAAUUGUUUUCUUUCCAAGUGACUCAAUAAAGGACAGUGAAAUGCUCUUAAGCAGUUUCUUUCAAUGUAUACAACCCUUGAUACCAGUCUGCACCUGCAGCUCAUAAGGUGCUAAACCAGAGAUAACCCAAGAAAGAUUAAGGGCUGACUCCAAUAACCUUUUAGUUUCUAUGAAGCAGAGGAGAAUACUGGGUGACUUUUCCAGUUGAAGAUAUAAAGGCAGACAUUUUUUUUUUGAAAUAAAAAGUAUGAUAUGUUUCAUUAAUACACAAGUACUAAGGGGAUGCCAGCCCAUGCAUAAAAAUAUUGACAUGUCAAUUAGGAUAUCGAUAAGAUCCCCAAAAUCCUGUAUAGAAUCAAGAGAAUGACCCAUGACCAAAAAACUCAGGAUAAGGAACUGUCUCUAUCCCUAACAAAAUCAUCUUCCACCCUUUCAAAAGGUCUCAUGUUUCUUUCUUUCUACACCACCCGAAAUAUUGGAAGGAGAAUGAGAUCCACAUGUUUUUUUCUAUCACAAUACCCUUCAGGCACAAAUCUCAUCUCUUACCGCACCAUUCGUCACCUAACUAAUUCUGAAUAAUCCGUACGUCAUGGUCCAUAACUUAUACGCAAACAGGCACCAAGGCAAGAUGUGGCUACAAGACUCCACCUCUUUGCAUAGAAAAUAGCCGUUUACCAUAAUUUUUCUUCUUCUCAUUAACUUGUCAAUAGUAAGAACAACUUCACCCUUCUUUAUUAUGUUUCCAUAGCUAGGAUUCUUUUCAAAGCGAUUUCCAAACAAAGAAGUAUGCAAUGAGGGAAUGGUCUUGCUUUUCCAAAUCUGCUUCAAGAAAAUCUGAAAACCCUCCUCAUUUUAAGGUUGCAGGUUGUUGUGAAAGGAGUUCACUAAGAACUUGCCAUCUUCAGAUACGGACAAACUAGGAGCAUCUUUCUUGGUGAAAUCCAUUAUAGGUCUAGCCAACAAAGCUGAGAAAGCAGCCAUCUCAUUUAUCUAGUUAUUGAGGUUUCCAAACAACUGAAUUUUCCAAACAAAACUUCCUUUUGCUUCUUGCAAAAUGAAAUUGUCAAGCAUUGCAUCAUUAUCUCUUGGCAGAUUCAAGAUGCUGAGAAAAUGAUCCAUUAAGGAUCUACCAUCACACCAUUAGUUAUCCCAAAACCCCACUAGCUGGUGAUUUCCACAAGACCAGAACCACACUAUGAAUCCAUUUCCACAAACUGGUACGAAUAAGUUUGUCUAGUGUUUCUAGUCCUCCAUCUCCUAUGCAAUCUAUGUAUUGUGUGCACCUAUGCAUUAUUAAUGAUAAUGCACAAGAUAUCAUGAAAUGUCCAUGCGAUUUUGGAGCUGCAGGUCCACAUGGGGCCAUGGUGAAAACUGCUCCAUCUAACUGAAGUCACCAAUCAAGAUCAUCACUGAGUAAUAAGCUCAAUCUGCAAAUCUAGAGCCAUUUUGACUGACACUUCCCAUCCCACUCGUCAUGCUUACUACUAUUUCUAUACAUGUGGGACUAUGGUGUNNNNNNNNNNNNNNNNNNNNNNNNNNNNNNNNNNNNNNNNNNNNNNNNNNNNNNNNNNNNNNNNNNNNNNNNNNNNNNNNNNNNNNNNNNNNNNNNNNNNNNNNNNNNNNNNNNNNNNNNNNNNNNNNNNNNNNNNNNNNNNNNNNNNNNNNNNNNNNNNNNNNNNNNNNNNNNNNNNNNNNNNNNNNNNNNNNNNNNNNNNNNNNNNNNNNNNNNNNNNNNNNNNNNNNNNNNNNNNNNNNNNNNNNNNNGCAAUCAGAUGAAAACCUAUCUCUGUAUAACAUAUGAAUAUGUAUGCCGAAAAGAGGUAUUACAUCAUUAAGGAGGUACAUGCGGUACAAUUAAGAAACUGACUCUUGUGAGCAUGGAUGUGGCUUACUCAUUUGACACAAGUCACAAGGAGCUAGGGUCCAUCUCAUGAAAUGAGAAUAAUCUUGGGUCAAGUUAUGAAUACUUUUAACUCCACGAUUCCUGUCAAAAUCAAAAGGUAUCUCCUUUAUAGGUCAACAAAAAGUUAUGUAGAGAAGGCCUUAAGUACCUCAAACAGCAAUCAAAAUCGAAGGUCAACCUGGCAUCCUUAUCAUGUAUUCCUAUUCUCUGAAGACAAGUAUCUUCAUGCAGAGGGUUCUUAUGAUUAUCUUAUUGAGACAAGCCCAAAUAUGAAUUCAUCCACACACAUGCACCAUUUACAUGAUUUGUUGAUACGAUUUAUUCAUAAUAUCUUCAAACUUUAUAAGAAAAAGUACAUAACUCGGCUUUCAUAUCGUGAAUACCAACUUGAGGGUAUAAAAGACCUCACCUUACCUUAAGGCUUGUCGAGGAGUACUAAGUUCAUAGAGUUUCAUCCUUGACAAUAUUGGUAAAGCUGCAUACCUUCUAUACAACUGUAGAUAGCAUGUAAAAGAUACAAAAGAAUUCAUAAGCAAUUAUAGAUAUUUUUUGACUUUCAAAACAAAUUGCAAAAUCACUAUCAUAUGACAAAUCACAAUGUAAGCAAAAUAAUUCCAUGGGAACAGACUUGCUUGGUUUCAUUGCAUUCAGUAUCCAAAAUUGAGUCCUGAAGACAUGACUUUAAAUCAAAUAAUGUUCUCUUACUGUUUUUUAACAGGAACUUGGUACCUCGAAUGCUCUGAGGAAAACUCAAUUUCUAGACACUAUUAUGUGACUAAUAAAUGGGCCUUACUUGAAAAAUGUCAAAGAUUGAUGGUCAAACCAGCUGGCAGUCAUCUUAUAUUAAGGCGUUUCUUAAUGAAUUUGGCUAAUCCUAACUAGUUUUUUUUUUAAAACUUAAAUGUUAAAGAUCUAAAAAAAUCUAAUUCAUUUUAAUGACUUAGGAGUAAAAUUCUUGUCUUACCAAGAUGAGACUCAAGGUCCUUCAACGUCUAGGAGUGCUCUUUGAGAAACAUGAAGCCAGGAGGAUUGGGCACCAUAAUCACCAUUGUGACUACUGCUAUUGGCAUGAUGGUGAUAGUGCUUUGCUACGGUGGCUAAAUGGUCCUCAGAGGCGUGAGAGAGGUGUGCCACCAAGUGGAGACUGUAGGUGUUGCCAAUGCGCUUAACUUGCUGCCAAUUGGGUGGAUUGGCGUUCGAAAAAUUUGCAGCUCUGGACUCGUUAUGUUGCUUCUCCAUUCCAUAUCUGCCGGUAAAGUUGGUCGAGAAGUUUUGCUGGCAAACCCAAUGGCACUAUUGUUCAGGGAAGGUUUGACAGGUUGGGAACUUAAUUGCAUGAUUGCAGGCAAAGUUCUGCGGACAAGUAGUGGCAAAUUAAUACAUAUGUUCCAGUACUCAUGCACCACAACCAAACAAAGUCACCCCGUCUACCCGUCAGCACUCAUGCACCACCACCAAACAGAAUCAUCCCGUUUAGACGUAAACUUUCAAUUAAAAAUUGUUCCCUGAUUUUAGGUAUCUAUUAAUUUUUCCACAAGGACAAAAUAUUCAAAUUUAAAACUCUUGGCUACUAUAGUUCUCAUGGAUGGCAACUAAGCCAGCAAGAAACGUUGUUAUUAGUUGACCUUGGUUAGGCAUAUUUGGACUUCCAUAAUUUAUUGUAAUGUGGACAUUUUUGUUGUAGAUAAUUCUGAAAUUAAGAUUCAAAAUAGCCUGGGUUUGGGGCUUCUGUUGAAAUGGAAGGAAAGUAUUGUUUACCGGCAGAUCUGGUGGAUGAUUUUCUUGUUUCCUUUAUGCUUUUGUUUAUUCAUUGUUUUAACUGAAAGUAAGGUUUUUAUGGAGCAGGUUUGCAACUAAAAUAAAUGGCUUUUUCAGGUGAUGACUACAAGAUAAAGGUGUGGAAUUAUAAGACUCAUAGGUGUCUAUUCACCCUCCUUGGACACCUUGAUUACAUCCGCACAGUGCAGUUUCAUCAUGAACACCCAUGGAUUGUGAGUGCUAGUGAUGAUCAGACCAUCCGCAUAUGGAAUUGGCAGUCACGUACUUGUAUUUCUGUUUUGACGGGUCACAAUCAUUAUGUAAUGUGUGCAUCUUUCCAUCCAAAAGAAGACCUUGUUGUGUCUGCUUCUCUAGAUCAGACUGUUCGUGUGUGGGAUAUUGGUUCCUUGAGAAAGAAGACUGCGUCUCCAGCAGAUGAUAUUCUGAGGUUAAGUCAGAUGAAUACUGAUCUUUUUGGUGGUGUUGAUGCUGUUGUUAAGUAUGUCUUGGAAGGCCAUGACCGUGGAGUCAACUGGGCUGCAUUCCAUCCCACUCUACCUCUCAUUGUCUCAGGGGCAGAUGACCGCCAAGUGAAAUUGUGGCGCAUGAAUGGUGAUGAAACAGUUCUCUUAUUUUUUAAAAUUGGCGUUACAUUUCUCAAAAAGAAAAGACGUUACAUUUCUCAAAAAGAAAAGACAUUACAUUUAGUUGGCUAAUGCCACUCUUGGUGAGAAAUUAUCUACUUGCCUACUGAGAAAACCCUGCAAUGGACUGUUUCUUUAGGAAGUUAUUUAUGAUGAUAAGCUUUUACUUAUUGUCUUAAAUUUGUGUACUACAGAAUAGUUAUUUUGCUAUUUCCAAAAAUAAUAACUAUGUUGCACAUAUUAGUGCUGUGGAUUUAGUUAACUGAAGAAACCCAGUUAUUGAUGUGAUUCUUUUUCUUCCUUUUUUU